GAUGAACGCUAGCUACAGGCUUAACACAUGCAAGUCGAGGGGAAACGGCAUCGAAAGCUUGCUUUUGAUGGGCGUCGACCGGCGCACGGGUGAGUAACGCGUAUCCAACCUGCCCAUCACUUGGGAAUAACCUUGCGAAAGUAAGACUAAUGCCCAAUGACAUCCCACGAAGGCAUCCGAAUGGGUUUAAAGAUUUAUCGGUGAUGGAUGGGGAUGCGUCUGAUUAGCUUGUUGGCGGGGUGCCGGGCCACGAAGGCAACGAUCAGUAGGGGUUCUGAGAGUAAGGGCCCCCACAGUGGAACUGAGACCCGGGCCAAACUCCUACGGGAGGCAGCAGUGAGGAAUAUUGGUGAAUGGGCGAGAGCCUGAACCAGCCAAGUAGCGUGCAGGAUGACGGCCCGAUGGGUUGUAAACUGCUUUUAUAAGGGAAUAAAGUGGGUCACGUGUGACUUUUUGCAUGUACCUUAUGAAUAAGGACCGGCUAAUUCCGUG
rnacentral:rRNA from 1 species